AUCCCUGUAAAGACACUUCUCAGAGUAUACGUUAUUGGUUUCAAUUUGAAGUUGCUCGCGGUGGCAAAAUGUUAUAUGAAUAUUAACUAAUAAAUCACACAUGUAAUCUCUACUGAUUUAGUAAUGAAACUCAGAAAAUAGAUUGCGCAUCAUAGAAAUUCGCAAUCGAGUUUAAAUUAAUAUAAUUGAAUACAUGUACACUGAAAACAGGCUAGUCUAAAUAGGCUUUUAUUUAUAUCGGCGAUGAUAUGUUUAGAACCGCACAUUAUUCCUUGCUUUGGCGGGAUAACAGCCUUCACAUCAAAAUAUAGGUGAACUUAUUUUGAAACAGUCACACUGAACACUCAGAAACUGAAUAUAUAGUUGGUCCAACGCAAUUGUUCUUGUAUCUGGAGAGCCUUGCAGCUACGAAUUGACACUGGGGAUGUUGCUAAUUGUCAGGGGCGUUGAAAUGUUACACACUUGCAGGCAAAACAGAUCCAUUCAGUAAUACACUGGAGAUACACUGCAUUAGUUUUGUUUUGAGAAACGUAAGCUUCAUUGCUCAGCAUUUCUGAUACCAACUAAAAGUGCUAUAAGAUGUUGAAUUGAAUAGAAAUGGCAAUUGUUGUUGGGGAAAACGGGAAAAUAAAUCUGCUAUCAAUAAUUUAUAAAUGUUUGUCAGCUUCAAAGCUAGGAUAAUGAACAUGGAAUGUCUAUCAACAGCACUUACAUGCUUUAAUUAAAAUUUAUACAGUGCGUUGAUCGAACAAAAAUUACCUUUAUUUGAACAUCUAAUGAUGGCUAGAAAUGUUCGAGUGAUAAACAGAUAAAGUUGCAAAUUAGGGUAGGGCGUCUAUUCCAAUAGGAAAUCAUAGCAGGAACAGUUGGGACAGAAAACAUUUCUUCAGACACUCUCUAUUGUACACGCAUAAAGAGACGUUGGUAAUUGAAAAUUGAUUUUCUAACGCACGAAACGCUUUCAUUGACGUCGAAGACAGUUUGUUAUAGGUUACAAGAGUGAAAUCGCCUUGGAUUAAGUUAUAUGUCGUUACGAUUGUAAAAUAACAACUGUAUACAUAUGUACAAAAUCUCAUGUCUAGAGAUAAGGCAGGAGCCUAUUAAUAUCAGCAAACAUCUUAUUAAAAUAGCAAUUGAAUGGUAGACUGGUCAUUGGGAAUCUAUGUGCUGAUUCUCAUCCAUUGAGUUAAUAUCACGGAGAUAUUAGUAACAGGUUUACAAGUUGAUUUUAGUUGUUUGAGAUCAAAAGCAAUCUAUUCACUGAUUUGUGAAAAUUCUUCUAAUUCUAGCAUGUGUCAAGCAAAUUGCAAAAACAGUAUCCCAUUGGUGCCCGCUUGUACCUCCAACACCGCGAAUAAGUCGCCGAUUUGACAAACCAACUUCUACCACACAGGCUGCUCUCCUGCACCCUGAAGGUUAAUUAAAGGAAGUAGUGUUAAGGUUAAAGUCAUGACAUCCUAUUGUAAUUGUAGCUUUGAGAUUAUGGUUGAGACAUGUACUAUAAACACACAAAAGGCAGAAGUCAUUGGAGUGGAUUACUGUCAGUCUGGAACUGGGAGAGAAUGAGCUAGUAAUUCCUAGAGAAAGGUAGACAAACAGAGAGUCAGUGACUAACAACUUUCCCUGCAGAGAUCCAUUGUUUCCGACUUUCCCUUUCUGAGGAGCUCGCUCUCAAAGCCGAUAAAGACCUCAACUCAAGCCAAAUACAUGAUCUAGAUGUCAGACAGACUAAAUUGAUGCUGAAUCCACAUGACACGAAAUAUAUUUAGUCCUUCCUUGAACAAUAUAGUUGGUGUGUCGAUAGGCAUUUUAAUUAGAGUUUAAGAACCAUUAAAGGUGGAUGAGAAAUCAGAUAGUAACAACUUUUUGUCCAGUUAAUUUAUAGCCAUGCUUUGUUUAAACUGAUGUAUGUUUAGGGCAAAGUCCUUGGUGCCUACCUUUAGCGGAUGUUUGACGAGGACUGAAUGUUACUAUUGUGCUGAUUGAAAAAUUUUUUUUAUGAAAUUUGAAAAUUUCGCUAGGCAAACUAUGAAUGUUGCACAGCUGGGAAUUAUACCACAUGGGAAUCAUUUAUGUUGUGUGGCUUUGUUUCACUUUUUUUUGCAGUGGAAUUGGUUUCCUUUAUUUUUUAUGACCAAUUUCUAAAGAAUAAGCGGGGAAACUGGUGUGUUGUGCAGUUUUUGUAUUUCUUUGAUAUAUUUGACAAUACAGUAUUAAACCCACUGUCCUUUGUAACUUUUAACCGACAUAUGAUUUAACACAUGACAAGCUGGAAGGACGUAAUUGUUUUAUUGACACAGAUUCCUUUAGGUGCAGUUAAGAGUACUUUUUACUUUAAAAUAAUAUUUUAUUCAGAUAAAGAGUUUUCGUGUGACCUUGUAACGUCUUUUUUCUAUCCUUUAUCCAGCCCCUAUUCCAUGGUUUCAAUAAACAGCGAAACCAUUACCUCACGGCAGCUUUUGUUGGCCCUAUACAACAGAGAACAAAAUGGUUAUUCAAG